CAAGUACUCCCUCCGUCCGAAAAUACUCCUCGGAGGGGAUGUAUCUAAACAUAUUUUAGUUCUAGAUACAUCCAUUUUUAUCAAUUUAUCCGACAAAUAUUUUGGGACGGAGGGAGUAGUAA
rfam:Triticum aestivum genome assembly, contig: Triticum_aestivum_CS42_TGACv1_scaffold_513116_6BS